AUACGGAGGGUGCAAGCGUUGUUCGGAAUUACUGGGCGUAAAGCGCGUGUAGGCGGCUUGGAAAGUCGGAUGUGAAAGCCCGAGGCUCAACCUCGGAACUGCAUUCGAAACUUUCAGGCUAGAGUCCUGGAGAGGAUGGUGGAAUUCCCAGUGUAGAGGUGAAAUUCGUAGAUAUUGGGAGGAACACCAGUGGCGAAGGCGGCCAUCUGGACAGUGACUGACGCUGAGACGCGAAAGCGUGGGGAGCAAACAGGAUUAGAUACCCCGGUAGUCC
rnacentral:rRNA from 1 species